rnacentral:other from 1 species
ACGGUUAUAAAUCAACAUAUUGAUUUAUAAGCAUGGAAAUCCCCUGAGUGAAACAACGAAUUGCUGUGUGUCUUUGCCCAUCUCCCACGAUGGGCUUUUUUUAAC